UAUUAUUUCAUUCAAUAAAUAUUUUCAUAAACUUACAUCAACAAUUACAUAUAAUUUUACUUUUCAUGCAAACUCUCUCUUCUACGUAUAUAAAUAAACGAAAAAAAUACGAUUUUACGAAAUCCAGAACAAACAGAAAAUAAUUCAUAAGUAAAAAACACCAACAAAAAAAAAAAUUUCUCUCUAAUUAAAAUAAAAAAUGAGAAAAAAAAUAAAUACUAAAUGAAACAUUUGUACAUUUCAACUACCUACAUUGUAGUUAACAACAUCCAUCUACCCACAUUCAAACUACUAUCCAAACUUACCUAUCCACAUUUACUAACCAACAUUCAAAAUACUACCUACCCAUAUUUAACUACCCAUAUUCAACUAUUUAACCAUCCUUUCACUACCAUUUCAC
rnacentral:lncRNA from 1 species